UACGGAGGGUGCAAGCGUUAUCCGGAUUCACUGGGUUUAAAGGGUGCGUAGGUGGGCCGGUAAGUCAGUGGUGAAAUCUCCGGGCUUAACCCGGAAACUGCCAUUGAUACUAUUUGUCUUGAAUACCGUGGAGGUCAGCGGAAUAUGUCAUGUAGCGGUGAAAUGCUUAGAUAUGACAUAGAACACCAAUUGCGAAGGCAGCUGGCUACACGAAUAUUGACACUGAGGCACGAAAGCGUGGGGAUCAAACAGG
rnacentral:rRNA from 1 species